rnacentral:misc_RNA from 1 species
UACGGAGGGUGCAAGCGUUGUCCGGAAUCAUUGGGUGUAAAGGGUGCGUAGGCGGGCAUCUAAGUCUGAGGUGAAAUCUUGCCGCUUAACGGUAAAAUUGCCUUGGAUACUGGGUGUCUUGAAUCCAGAAGAGGUCGGUGGAAUUCGUGGUGUAGCGGUGAAAUGCAGAGAUAUCACGAAGAACAUCAGUGGCGAAGGCGGCCGACUGGGCUGGUAUUGACGCUGAGGCUCGAAAGCGUAGGUAGCGAACAGG